rnacentral:rRNA from 1 species
GACAGAGGUGCCGAGCGUUAGGCGGAAUCACUGGGCUUAAAGCGUGUGUAGGCGGAUCCGUAAGUACCUUGUGAAAUCCCACGGCUCAACCGUGGAACUGCUUGGUAUACUGCGGGUCUUGAGCCACUUAGGGGCAACCGGAACAAACGGUGGAGCGGUGAAAUGCGUAGAUAUCGUUUGGAACGCCAAUGGUGAAAACAGGUUGCUGGGAGUGUGCUGACGCUGAGACACGAAAGCCAGGGGAGCAAACGGG